rnacentral:rRNA from 1 species
UACAGAGGUGGCAAGCGUUGUUCGGAAUUACUGGGCGUAAAGGGCGCGUAGGCGGUCUUGUAAGUCCUGUGUGAAAUCCCUCGGCUCAACUGAGGAACUGCACGGGAAACUGCUUGGCUUGAGUUCGGGAGAGGGAAGCGGAAUUCCGGGUGUAGCAGUGAAAUGCGUAGAUAUCGGGAGGAAUACCGAUGGCGAAGGCGACUUCCUGGCCUGUUCUUGACGCUGAGGCGCGAAAGCUAGGGGAGCAAACGGG